CUUUUUUUCAGGCAGAAAAGAAAAAGGAAGACUUAAAACCCAUCAAGCAGCCCUCCCUCCUCUCACGGUCCACACCGGGCUUGGGCUCGGCCGCUCCUGUUUCCCGGCUGCAGAUGAGGAAACUGAGGCUCGGAAAGUUGGGUUUUCCCUCUCACCUCCCUCAAGAGCCCUCACAUCUGCCAAGGAAACCCAGGCUCAAGGAAGCAGAGAAUCCAGCUCAAAGUCACCCAGUGAACUCAUGGCAGAGCUGAGAUUUAAACGCAGCCUUUUGUUGUCUCUCUGUUUAAUUCAUCCGGAAACCAUUACUGAGCACUUGCUGUUUGUGCUGGGGAAGAAGUGGAAGAAAGAAAACAUAAGCCUGCUUUCUCUAGAUGCCUGGAGUUGGCUCCUCUGAGCUCUCGUUAAGGGCUGUCUUACCAACUUGCUUUCCCCAACAUCUUGCGGACAUUGCUAAGUGAUGUAGAGAUUAUUAUACCUGAGGAUGAAGAGACUGGGUCUCAGGAAGGUCAAGAAACUUGCCAAAAGGUAGAAGGAAGUUGACAUUUGUUUCUGAGUACCUGUAUACGCAAGGUCAUUAUCAUCACCCCCUUUAACAGAGAAGGAAACUGAGGCUCUGAGAGCUGUGUUGCAUCUAAGGUGGCACCGCAGGCCUGUGUGCCCCUCCAUCCUGCCCCAGCGCUUCCUCACAUGGAGGCCCCUAUAUCUGGGAUUUAGAAUUGUGUUCCAGGGCCCCUCACCCUCCAUG